AUAAAAGCUGUGGAGCUGCCCGUGUGAUGAACAGACUUGAAAAGCUCAGCCCUGGCCUAUCUGCACCAUGACCUGGGCUCCUCUCCUGCUCACACUUCUGGCUCACUGCACAGGCUCCACUUCCCAGGCUGUGGUGACUCAGGAAACUUCACUGACCACAACUCCAGGAGGGACAGUCACACUCACCUGUGGCUCCAGUACUGGGGCCGUCACCACCAGUAACUAUGCAAGCUGGGUCCAACAGAAGCCCUACCAGGUACCUCAGGGUGUAAUAGGUGGCACCAGUAAUCGGGUUCCAGGAGUCCCUGCCCGAUUCUCAGGUUCCCUACUUGGAGACAAGGCUGCCCUCACCAUCACGGGGGCCCAGACUGAGGAUGAGGCCACCUAUUACUGUGUUCUAUGGUUCAGCAACCAUUUCCACAGUGACACGUGCAGUGAAUGUUCCCCAGGGAGACUCCACAGGACCCCUCAGUGUGCUGAGGACCCUGAAGUACAGGCUACUCACUCUGAGACCAGUGUGGCCAAAACUAAGUCCACCUCAAUGAAAAUCAAUGCCAAGUUAGAGAUUUCAGGGUUUGAAGCAGAGUCUCCCAGUUGUCUCCAGUUGGCUGAGGACAAGGCUGAGUACCACUGCUGGCUGGUGUCAAGUGGUGUAUCACACAGGGACAGUCACAUGAGGAACUAUGAUAUAAACCAACCCUUGGCCCAGCCUGAGACUAUGAAUGACCCCUGGACUGAAGACAAAUGA